rnacentral:lncRNA from 1 species
UAAUGGAAGAAAAACAGAUUUGAUUGAUUAAUUUAUCACAUUUUGUAACACAAAUUUAAUAGGAAACUAUAGAUUGAACCUAAAAAUAUUGAUAUAAGUUGACAUGUAACAACUUCAUCAUUGUACCUCUUCGGAACCAUGUACAUAGAGCUUGACGCCAAACCUUCGAAGCAUUGAAAACUUUUAUGCAGGUAAUUCUGGGACGAAAAUUGAGUUCUUGCAUUGUCAUGUAAAAGGAACUUCAUUUGCAGGGGAAUCGUGAAUUAAAUUUGCAAAUGAAGGGUGCAGGCAGUCUAGAAAACAACUUGCAGGAAAAUUUGCAGAAGAUUCAAAUAUAUACAUAGUUGCAUCAGCAUCGCAAAUCCCAAAGGGAUACGAGAACACUGCAAAAAAGAAAAACCCUCAUGGUUCUCUUUGAAUUACAAUUAUCCACAGAAAGCAGUCAUUUUUGGAGGCAAAUUAAAACCCCACAGCUGCUGCCACUAGAUAUUGGGAACCUUUUGAUGAGGUUAAUGUCACAGAUCGAUCUGAUUAAGCAACAAAUAAAUAAAAAUAGCAGAAGAAAUUAAACACACAAAUAUAAAAUGAAAAAACCUCUUUAAAAAGAAUAAAAAAUCACAAGCAAAGGUAAUUUCACUAUAAUGACAAAAGAAUGAUGAGUACAAAAGAUGAGAUAAAAACUAAACCUUAAAAACUCAAAAAUAAAGAACCUUAAAACGUAAACGCAAAAUUUUCUAAAAGUGUUAUGAGUUAUAAUCUCUAAUGGGUAUAUUUUCUAUAGUUGUAAAAGAGUCCAUUUAUAGGUUAAAUUUAUAGGUCAAAUAAUAAUAAAAUAAUCUAUAUUAAUCAGAAUUUAAUAGUGUAAAGUCCUAAUUUUAUUCGGCCCAAACAAACCAAAAGACAAAAAAAGAAAACAAAUAAAUAAAAACAAACUCAUUAAUUAAAAGUUCAGUCCAUUUACAAACCUUAGGCCAAAACCCACUACCCUAAACGUAAACUGAAAAAAGAAAAAACCCUAAUCCCUUAUGUCAUAACCUCUACCACGUUAGGAAGCAUGCCUCCUCUGCCCUCCUUUCACCGAAAUGGCAAAGUGUGGCUCCCCAACACCAUUGACCUUGCCACAGACACUUGCAAAAAAAAUAAUAAUAAAAAAGAGAAGUAGAGAACAAGAAAAGAAAAACAAAAAAAUAAUGAUAUUUUAUAAUAUAUUUCAGUUUUAAAAACCGAAAUCAUGUAACAUAAUAAAAAAGAAGAAGAAGAAAAAAAUCGAAUACAAAAAGAAAAAAAAAGUUGUUCAUCUUUUUUCUUUUUUGCUUUUUAUUUCAAAAAAUAUAAGAAAAUAAAAUAAGAUUUUAAAUCUUACCCGUUCAUCGCCAUUGGGAGGCCCUCCUCCGCUCUGAAAGGUCUUCAAACCCCUUAGGGUUCGUCAACAGCCACAUCAGAGAAGAGACACCGAAAGGUCUCUCGACUUCCAAUCGAACUUUGGCUGGGUUUUCGAAGGAUAUAUCACCAAUUCCACGAUCUACAUAAGAAAAGGAGCUCGAGAGAACUUUUUCUAUUUUUCAACCACCGAAGGCGACGGUCGCCAUUGCCAAUGACUGGUGGCCAUGGCAGAGACUCACUAGCCCCGUGACUGGAGAGAAGAGGUCUUGAAAGAGAAAAAAAAGGAAGAAUGUUGUUUUUU